rnacentral:rRNA from 1 species
UACGAGGGGGGCGAGCGUUGUUCGGAAUCACUGGGCGUAAAGCGCACGUAGGCGGAUUGCUAAGUCAGGGGUGAAAUCCUGGAGCUCAACUCCAGAACUGCCUUUGAUACUGGCGAUCUUGAGUCCGGGAGAGGUGAGUGGAACUGCGAGUGUAGAGGUGAAAUUCGUAGAUAUUCGCAAGAACACCAGUGGCGAAGGCGGCUCACUGGCCCGGUACUGACGCUGAGGUGCGAAAGCGUGGGGAGCAAACAGG